UGGCGGCGUGCCUAAUACAUGCAAGUAGAACGCUGAAGACUUUAGCUUGCUAAAGUUGGAAGAGUUGCGAACGGGUGAGUAACGCGUAGGUAACCUGCCUACUAGCGGGGGAUAACUAUUGGAAACGAUAGCUAAUACCGCAUAACAGCAUUUAACCCAUGUUAGAUGCUUGAAAGGAGCAAUUGCUUCACUAGUAGAUGGACCUGCGUUGUAUUAGCUAGUUGGUGAGGUAACGGCUCACCAAGGCGACGAUACAUAGCCGACCUGAGAGGGUGAUCGGCCACACUGGGACUGAGACACGG
rnacentral:rRNA from 1 species